GAGUUUGAUCCUGGCUCAGAAUGAACGCUGGCGGCAUGCCUAACACAUGCAAGUCGAACGAACCCUUCGGGGUGAGUGGCGCACGGGUGCGUAACGCGUGGGAACCUACCCUUAAGUUCGGAAUAACAGUGAGAAAUUGCUGCUAAUACCGGAUAAUGUCUUCGGACCAAAGAUUUAUCGCUUUUGGAUGGGCCCGCGUAGGAUUAGCUAGUUGGUGAGGUAAAGGCUCACCAAGGCGACGAUCCUUAGCUGGUCUUAGAGGAUGAUCAGCCACACUGGGACUGAGACACGGCCCAGACUCCUACGGGAGGCAGCAGUGGGGAAUAUUGGACAAUGGGCGAAAGCCUGAUCCAGCAAUGCCGCGUGAGUGAUGAAGGCCUUAGGGUUGUAAAGCUCUUUUACCAGGGAUGAUAAUGACAGUACCUGGAGAAUAAGCUCCGGCUAACUCCGUG
rnacentral:rRNA from 1 species